UCUUUCAGGAACACUGUAUUGUAUGCACCCAGUCUUGUCUGGUCUCAGAAGCUAAACUGUCCUGGACCUGGGUAAUACUUGGAUGGCAGACCACCUGGGACUUCUAGGUGCUCUAGGCU
rnacentral:rRNA from 1 species